GACGAACGCUGGCGGCGUGCUUAACACAUGCAAGUCGAACGGAAAGGCCCUGCUUUUGUGGGGUGCUCGAGUGGCGAACGGGUGAGUAACACGUGAGUAACCUGCCCUUGACUUUGGGAUAACUUCAGUAAACUGGGGCUAAUACCGGAUAGGAGCUCUUGCUGCAUGGUGUGGGUUGGAAAGUUUCGGCGGUUGGGGAUGGACUCGCGGCUUAUCAGCUUGUUGGUGGGGUAGUGGCUUACCAAGGCUUUGACGGGUAGCCGGCCUGAGAGGGUGACCGGGCACAUUGGGACUGAGAUACGGCCCAGAAUCCUACGGGAGGCAGAAGUGGGGAAGAGUGCACAAUGGGCGGAAGCCUGAUGCAGCGACGCCGCGUGCGGGAUGACGGUCUUCGGGUUGUAAACCUCUUUCGCCUGUGACGAAGCGUGAGUGACGGUAAUGGGUAAAGAAGCACCGGCUAACUACGUG
rnacentral:rRNA from 1 species